AAGUCGUAACAAGGUUUCCGUAGGUGAACCUGCGGAAGGAUCAUUAACGUAUCUCCGACGGCGAGGGCGCGCCCCGCUCCGGGUCCGAAAAACGGCCCGUGCAGCGGGCGGCCCGAACCACUCGACCCCUUUGCAAACCCCACCGUGCACUUUUGUCGGCAGAAGGGGCGCCCAGCGCGUUCCCGAGCCGUACCCACAAACCCCGAGUUUAAAAAGAAUGAUCAGCGGACGUUGCGCCGCCUAAACUUUAACAACUUUCAACAACGGAUCUCUUGGCUCUC
rnacentral:misc_RNA from 1 species